rnacentral:RNase_P_RNA from 1 species
AGAGUGGAUCUGGCUGUCGCUGGUUUUCCGUAGUGGGAAACGGGAGGAAAGUCCGGGCUCCGCGAAAAGGUGCCGGGUAACGCCCGGCGGGGGCAACCCUAGGGACAGUGCCACAGAGAGCAAACCGCCGAACGGGAUUUUAACUAAUCUUUCGGUAAGGGUGAAAGGGUGCGGUAAGAGCGCACCGCGUUGCUGGUAACAGUAGCGGCAAGGUAAACCCCACCUGGAGCAAGACCAAAUAGGGAAACACCGCUUUAGCGGGCGUUUUCGGGUAGGUUGCUUGAGACACUUGGCAACAGGUGUACUAGAUGAAUGACAGCUGCCUGAAGCUUUGAAAAGAGCCAAGGAACAGAACCCGGCUUAUUGAUCCACUCUCCGU